rnacentral:rRNA from 1 species
AGUAGUUUGAUCAGUGGCUCAGGACGAACGCUGGCGGCGUGCUUAACACAUGCAAGUCGAACGGGUACUUCGGUACUAGUGGCAAACGGGUGAGUAACGCGUAGGCAAUCUGCCGUAAAGUUGGGGACAACAGUUCGAAAGGACUGCUAAUACCGAAUGUUAUGUUUUUAUCGCAUGAUAGAUACAUUAAAGAUUUAUCGCUUUACGAGGAGCCUGCGUCCGAUUAGGUAGUUGGUAAGGUAACGGCUUACCAAGCCGACGAUCGGUAACCGGUCUGAGAGGAUGAACGGUCACAUUGGAACUGAGAGACGGUCCAGACUCC